AUUAUUUUUGGGCCUUUUGGCUAAGAUCAAGUGUAGUAUCUGAUCUUACCUCAAAAUCAGGCAUUAAAAACUAUAAAUAUACAGAUUGUUGCCUCAGCAAAACCCUCUCUUAGUGUCACUAAGGUAUUUGGCACUGUGCAUUGUACUGCACUGGGAAGUAUU
rnacentral:snRNA from 1 species